GUCUUAUUUAAAUAAUGACUGUCAUACUUUGUUCAUUCAUUUGUCUCUAUGUUUCACUUUCAUUUAGUUCUUUAAGCAUGUUUGCUUCCGUUGAUUAAAUGACCCAAUUUUCUGACACAGUGAAUGAAACCAUCAAGAGUUACUCCCCUUGCACUGUAAAAAUUAGUAAAUACUGGUGAAAAAAAACACAUAAAUGUUUGACUUCGAGCUAAGAAUCUUGCAUAAACAUAUUUGCCAUGUUUGUUUCAGUGUCUUGGGGGUAUGAGGGUGGGCUUUUUUUCCCAUUUUCGUUGUUUACUAGUGUUAAAAACUCGUAUUUUCAGAAAUGAUUAAUGUGGAGGUAAAAUGUGCAAGGC
rnacentral:lncRNA from 1 species